UCGGGAAUUUUGGGCAAUGGGCGAAAGCCUGACCCAGCAACGCCGCGUGAGGGAUGAAGUAUUUCGGUAUGUAAACCUCGAAAGAAUGGGAAGAAUAAAUGACGGUACCAUUUAUAAGCUCCGGCUAACUACGUGCCAGCAGCCGCGGUAAUACGUAGGGAGCAAGCGUUGUUCGGAUUUACUGGGCGUAAAGGGCGCGUAGGCGGCGCGGUAAGUCACUUGUGAAAUCUCUGAGCUUAACUCAGAACGGCCGAGUGAUACUGCUGUUCUAGAGUGCGGAAGAGGCAACCGGAAUUCUGGGUGUAGCGGUGAAAUGCGUAGAUAUCAAGAGGAACACCUGAGGCGAAGGCGGGUUGCUGGGCCGACACUGACGCUGAUGCGCG
rnacentral:rRNA from 1 species